rnacentral:rRNA from 1 species
AGUGAACGCUGGCGGUAGGCCCAACACAUGCAAGUCGAACGGCAGCACAGUAAGAGCUUGCUCUUACGGGUGGCGAGUGGCGGACGGGUGAGGAAUACAUCGGAAUCUACUUUUUCGUGGGGGAUAACGUAGGGAAACUUACGCUAAUACCGCAUACGACCUACGGGUGAAAGCAGUGGAUCUUCGGACCUUGCGCGAUUGAAUGAGCCGAUGUCGGAUUAGCUAGUUGGCGGGGUAAAGGCCCACCAAGGCGACGAUCCGUAGCUGGUCUGAGAGGAUGAUCAGCCACACUGGAACUGAGACACGGUCCAGACUCCUACGGGAGGCAGCAGUGGGGAAUAUUGGACAAUGGGCGCAAGCCUGAUCCAGCCAUACCGCGUGGGUGAAGAAGGCCUUCGGGUUGUAAAGCCCUUUUGUUGGGAAAGAAAAGCAGCAGGUUAAUACCCCGCUGUUCUGACGGUACCCAAAGAAUAAGCACCGGCUAACUUCGUG